ACCAAAAAACCCUGGAGACAACAAACAUGAACACUGCAAGACGAAUACAAUCCCUCCGGGCUCACAGGCAAAGGAUUCCUGCAACUUAUGUGGACAGCUGCCAAAACCAGCCCUGCAUCUGCUCAGAACAAUGGUGUAUUGAUGAGCUAGCCACUUACCUGCUGAUCACCAUCAUUAUUGUAAUUGCACUAUUUGGGGCAUGGGC